rnacentral:rRNA from 1 species
UGAAACUGCGAAUGGCUCAUUAAAUCAGUUAUAGUUUAUUUGAUAGUACAAUUACCACUUGGAUAACCGUGGUAAUUCUAGAGCUAAUACAUGCCAAAAGUCUCGACUUCUGGAAGGGACGUAUUUAUUAGAUAAAAACCAAUAA